UACAGAGGGUGCGAGCGUUAAUCGGAAUUACUGGGCGUAAAGGGCGCGUAGGCGGCUUUGCAAGACGAUAGUGAAAUACCUGGGCUUAACCUGGGGACGGCUAUCGUGACUGUAGGGCUAGAGUGCAGUAGAGGGUGGAGGAAUUUCCGGUGUAGCGGUGAAAUGCGUAGAUAUCGGAAGGAACACCAGUGGCGAAGGCGGCCACCUGGACUGACACUGACGCUGAGGCGCGAGAGCGUGGGGAGCAAACAGG
rnacentral:rRNA from 1 species